rnacentral:rRNA from 1 species
AUUGUCCCCUCCUAGUAAGCACCGCCUAACUACCCGCCAGCCGCCGCGGUAAUACGUAUGGCGCCAGACUUGUCUGUAUUUACUGGGUGUAAAGGGUGCUCCGGUGGGUUUGUAAGUCAGAGGUGAAAUCCCAAAGCUUAACUUUGGAGCUGCCUUUGAUACUGCAAGUCUGGAGUUUGAGAGAGGGCAAUGGAAUAUCUGGUGUAGCAGUGAAAUGCGUAGAUAUUAGAUAGAACACCAAUGGCGAAGGCAGUUGCCUGGCUCAAAACUGACGCUAAAGCACGAAAGUGUGGGGAGCAAACAGGAUUAGAUACCCUGGUAGUCCACACCCUAAACGAUGAAUACUAGAUGUUGGUCCUUUUUAGGAUCAGUAUCCAAGCUAACGCAUUAAGUAUUCCACCUGGGAAGUACAAUCGCAAGGUUGAAACUCAAAGGAAUUGACGGGGGCCCGCACAAGCAGUGGAGCAUGUGGUUUAAUUCGACGCAACGCGAAGAACCUUACCUAGGCUUGAAACGCAAGUUAAUCCUGAUGAAAGUCAGGGUUCCGCAAG